rnacentral:rRNA from 1 species
AACGAACGCUGGCGGCGCGCUUAACACAUGCAAGUCGAACGAGCGAGCGGGCUUCGGCCCGGGAGCUAGUGGCGCACGGGUGAGUAACGCGUGGGAACCUGCCCCUGGGUUCGGAACAACCACGGGAAACUGUGGCUAAUACCGAAUGAUCCCCUGGAGCGAGAGUGAAGGGGGCAAAGAUUCAUCGCCUAGGGAUGGGCCCGCGUCGGAUUAGGUAGUUGGUGGGGUAACGGCCCACCAAGCCUACGAUCUAUAGCUGGGUUUUAGUAGGA